UACGUAGGGUGCGAGCGUUAAUCGGAAUUACUGGGCGUAAAGCGUGCGCAGGCGGUUUGUUAAGUCAGAUGUGAAAGCCCCGGGCUUAACCUGGGAACGGCAUUUGAAACUGGCAGGCUGGAGUGCGGCAGAGGGGGGUGGAAUUCCGCGUGUAGCAGUGAAAUGCGUAGAUAUGCGGAGGAACACCGAUGGCGAAGGCAAUCCCCUGGGCCUGCACUGACGCUCAUGCACGAAAGCGUGGGGAGCAAACAGG
rnacentral:rRNA from 1 species